ACCGAAGUCGGAAUUCGCUCUGUGACGACUGGGAUAACUUCGGGAAACCGGAGCUAAUACCGGAUAACACCGAAAACCGCAUGGUUUUCGGUUGAAAGGCGGCUUUUAGCUGUCACUGCAGGAUGGGCCCGCGGCGCAUUACCUAGUUGGUGAGGUAACGGCUCACCAAGGCGACAAUGCGUAGCCGACCUGAAAGGGUGACCGGCCACCCUGGGACUGAGACACGGCCCAAAUUCUUACGGGAGGCACCAGUAGGGAAAUUUUCCGCAUUGAACAAAAGUCUGCCGGAGAAACCCCGCGUGAGCAAGAAGGUCCUCCGAAUCGUAAAGCUUUUUUGGCCGGGAAAAAAAAAGUCCGUUUCGAACCGGGGCGGAACUCUUGACGGUCCUUGAGGAGGGAGGCACGGGUAAACCUCCGUGCAAGCACCGGGGUAAAUACGUAGGGGGCAAGGCGUUUGUCCGGAAUUUAUUGGGGCGUAAAGGCGCGCGCGGGCGGUCCUUAAGUCUGAUGUGAAUCCUCGGCGGCUCACCCGCGAGCGGCCUUUGAAACCUGGGGAACUUGAUUGCAGAAAAGUAAGCGAAAUUCCACGUGUAGCGUGAAUGCGUAGAGAUGUGAGAACCACAGUGGCAAGGCGCUCCUCUGGCCUGUAACUGACGCUAAGGCGCGAAGCGUGGGGAGCGAACAGAUAAGAUAUCCUGGUAGUCACGCCGUAAACGAUGAGGGCUAGGUGUAAAGGUAUCACCCUAUGUGCUGCGAGCAACCGCAUAGCAUCCGCUUGGGAGACGCGCGCACGUCUUAACUCCAGG
rnacentral:rRNA from 1 species